rnacentral:lncRNA from 1 species
UGACCCCAUACCACCCCUCAUCAUCUCUCACUUCGCCCUCAGAGACCCCAACCAAACGCCACCUUGAACCGCCAUCUGCCGAAAUUGCCCAAGGUGGCGGCCAGCGGCCAAUCGCUUCAAAAAUUACACCACUUCUUCUCCUGCACCUCCCCAUCCUAAAUCCACACUCCGUUCAUCUCAAAACCCUUUAAAACACCUCAAAUUUUAGAUAAACAGGUGGAACCCUAGCACCGCCCAACUUUCUCUGGCGGCGGCGCCACCACCAACCACCACCAAAAUAACACCCCUUGACCACCACGACCCCUUCUUCCCUAAUCCAUAAUUAGAUAUACUUGAAUCAAUUUAAAACUCUUCGAAUCUUAAAUCCAAGUUUGACCCCUAGAAGUUUGAAGUCAUUUUUUGUUAAACCUGGUAACAUACACAAUCUUGGAGUGUUGUUCUUUCGCGUUUUGAAGAUUAGACUCGACAAAACUAAUGUCGUUCAGUUGUUCUUGACAAAGAACAAUGGAUCGAUAUCACUUUGGUUAAGUCAUUGGCCUCCGUUAGUUUUCGGGUCUAAAUCGGUAAGGUUCUUUUUCUUUCUUUGCCUUUUUGUUCGUCUUUAUGCUUCGUCUCUUCUUUGUUCUCUUCUUUUGUCUCCAUAUAUUUGAGAGUGCCUUGAAUGAAAUCAAUUUUGAAUUUAGUUCCCCCCUCUAGGACAGUUUGUUCUUGUAUUAUUUGUGUAUUUAUUUCUAUUUUAUCUCUUCAAUUUUCUUUUUUAAGUCUUAAUUGAUAUUCUCUGUUUUUUCCCUUGAUUUUAUUUUAGGCUAUGAAAUUUUCUGAUAAUUAGCUUAGAUUAUAUUGCUCAUAAAUUGUCAGUUUAGUUUUAAUCUCAAUUUAGUAUUUUAACUUAAGAGGAGAAUCAAUUGUUAGUUAGAUUUUGGGCUUGUGAAGUGAUUCAUUUGUUUCGCCCUCUAUUUCUUUUAGCUAAAUGGGUCUCUGAACGAUGUUCAAGCCAUAAGUUCAAUUUUGGCUGCUCAUUUGAGGUUUGGACCUUGGGUAAGCUUUAACCCAUACCCAUAGGUUUCAGCAGUAGAAACAGGGUCAUUAAGGGGUAAUUUUGGGUAGUUUAAUUCAUGGAAUCUAGGUGUAACAGAUUAGGAAUCUUCUUAGAAGCUGAAAAACAAUCUUGCUUGGCAAACAAGUCAAAUUUUGGGAUUAAGUAGAAAAAAUCAAAAUUAAAAAAGGGAUAAAGUGCAAAAGCUCAACCCUUAAGGCUGCCCUAAUAGCUUGCCCAUAAAGACAUUGUUACUUGAAGUUGAAACAAGAUUUUGAGAGGAAGAUUUUAGAGAUUUUCCUGGAAAAGAUUUUAGAGAGGCUUUCAAGAGAUUUUAAGGGCAAAAUUUCAGGAAAUAAUCAAAAACAGCUAAAACUUCAUGGAAGUAACUGUUCCAUUGAACUUCUUGUAAAGUUUCUGAAGUUCUCAAUUUUUAAAAAAUUUCUGAUUCACCUGGGGUAAAAAUGGACUGAAUUUGAGUUUUUAAAAGCUUGGUUUGAAGUUUUAUGUGGUUAUUAUUUGAUUGAGACUGCUCUCUACUGCAUCAUACUCUCAUUUCUGGUUUGACCUGGGUUUGCUGGUGCUGAUUUCUGCUACUUUUCUACUGCUGCUCGACCUCACUUUAUUUUUUCUCAUUUUUCAGGUAUUUCCAUAAACAAUGUAUGAAAAAUGGCAGUAUCCAUGCAUUAUGUAGUGGAAACUUAGUUUAAAUGCAAAAACAAUUGCUUUGAGCUUUGAUGAUUUGUUUCUUCCUGUUCUGAGUAAUGCAUUUGUACUAGUUUAGAGUUGUGCAUGUUAUUUUUAGAUUUUACAUGUUUUCAGUAUGCUGUAAUGAAAAUUUGUGCUAUACUUAGUAGAUCUGCAAUCAUUUUUUGCCGGUUGAGUGAUGGUGUGAAUUUCUGAACAAAAGUGCGAAGUGGUAAUUUGAAUGCUGAUUCAAAUGGUUGUAAUAUUCUGCUGAAAUCGCUAAAGGAGCUGUUUCAAUUAAUAGUUAGUAUUGAAAUUGGUUUAAGGAUGUGUUGGUUAUUUAGAAUAGAGGUUUAGACUCAGAAGCUUAGCAUUGUAAUAAGUUUUGGAUCUGGCACGUGAUUGGAUUGUUAGACAUUGCUGUUGUUUAAUUAUGUCAAGUUAGUAUUCCUGUAGUUUGAGGUUCCACUUUGCAACUUGGAAAUUUGCAGCAUUUUACGUAGUUAAAAUUGUCAUUUUGAUGGUUUAUGUGAGCUUAAAUUCCCUAUGUUUGUUUGUGGGGAUUAGUUUAGAAAUUAAAAUGCAAAAUAAUUCUCUGUUUGUUUGUUAUCAGUGCAUCCGAUGUUAGAUACGUAUGGUGAGCUAAUGUCCUGUUAGAGGUUUUUGUGUUAGAUAGGACUCGACCUUGAGUCUUGAUUUCCAUUUCUGUCUUUGCAAAGUCUUUGGCCCAUGGAGCUUUAGACUUCUGGGCUGUUUACUAGAGAAGAUGGCAUAUUAGACACAUUGGGCAUGUUUGUUGAGCCCAAUAGCUUGUAUUGUUAUUGUUGGAUAUUUCGCGUAGCAAACCUGGCCCAAAUACAUGCUAAAAUAAAAUUA